rnacentral:rRNA from 1 species
GAUGAACGCUAGCUACAGGCUUAACACAUGCAAGUCGAGGGGAAACGGCAUCGAAAGCUUGCUUUUGAUGGGCGUCGACCGGCGCACGGGUGAGUAACGCGUAUCCAACCUGCCCAUCACUUGGGAAUAACCUUGCGAAAGUAAGACUAAUGCCCAAUGACAUCCCACGAAGGCAUCCGAAUGGGAUUAAAGAUUUAUCGGUGAUGGAUGGGGAUGCGUCUGAUUAGCUUGUUGGCGGGGUGACGGCCCACCAAGGCAACGAUCAGUAGGGGUUCUGAGAGGAAGGUCCCCCACAUUGGAACUGAGACACGGUCCAAACUCCUACGGGAGGCAGCAGUGAGGAAUAGUGGUCAAUGGGCGAGAGCCUGAACCAGCCAAGUAGCGUGCAGGAUGACGGCCCUAUGGGUUGUAAACUGCUUUUAUAAGGGAAUAAAGUGGGUCACGUGUGACUUUUUGCAUGUACCUUAUGAAUAAGGACCAGCUAAUUCCGUG